rnacentral:rRNA from 1 species
CCUACGGGAGGCAGCAGUGGGGAAUAUUGGGCAAUGGGCGCAAGCCUGACCCAGCAACGCCGCGUGAAGGAAGAAGGCUUUCGGGUUGUAAACUUCUUUUGUCAGGGAAGAGUAGAAGACGGUACCUGACGAAUAAGCCACGGCUAACUACGUGCCAGCAGCCGCGGUAAUACGUAGGUGGCAAGCGUUGUCCGGAUUUACGUGGUGUAAAGGGCGUGUAGCCGGGUUGACAAGUCAGAUGUGAAAUCCUGCGGCUUAACCGCAGAACUGCAUUUGAAACUGUUGAUCUUGAGUACUGGAGAGGUAGACGGAAUUCCGAGUGUAGCGGUGAAAUGCGUAGAUAUUAGGAGGAACACCAGUGGCGAAGGCGGUCUGCUGGACAGCAACUGACGGUGAGGCGCGAAAGCGUGGGGAGCAAACAGGAUUAGAUACCCGUGUAGUC